rnacentral:tRNA from 1 species
GGGGAUGUAGCUUAGUCUGGUAUAGCACCUGCUUUGCACGCAGGGGGUCGGCGGUUCGAAUCCGCCCAUCUCCACCA